CCUACGGGAGGCAGCAGUGGGGAAUAUUGCGCAAUGGGCGAAAGCCUGACGCAGCGACGCCGCGUGAGGGAUGAAGGUCUUCGGAUCGUAAACCUCUGUCAGCAGGGAAGAACGGUCACUGUGCUAAUCAGCAGUGAAUUGACGGUACCUGCAAAGGAAGCACCGGCUAACUCCGUGCCAGCAGCCGCGGGAAUACGGAGGGUGCGUGCGGUAAUCGGAAUUACUGGGCGUAAAGCGAUCGUAGGCGGUAUGUCAAGUCAAGGGUGAAAUCCCCGCGCUCAACGUGGGAACUGCCUUUGAAACUGGCAAACUGGAGUGUGUGAGAGGAUAGUGGAAUUCCAGGUGUAGGAGUGAAAUGCGUAGAUAUCUGGAGGAACAUCGGUGGCGAAGGCGACUAUCUGGCACAUAACUGACGCUGAGGAGCGAAAGCGUGGGUAGCAAACAGGAUUAGAUACCCUAGUAGUC
rnacentral:rRNA from 1 species